AACAUACAACAACCGUUAAAAAAACCGUUAUAACAGACAGUCCGUUAAAGUCCAGUGCUCGUUUCUAAUUGGCUGAGCCGCGGUUGAAGAUGCACACGCGCACCUGCGGCCGCAGUACAGUUGAUUAGAAUAUUAAUGCGCUAACCGUUAUAAAUUGAUUGGUAGGUUAAGUUUAAAGUACUAUAUUGUUUGGCGGAAGCAUGAUAUACCUCUGACGUGCUGAAGGUGGCUCUUCUUUGGCUGAUCGACAACCUGAAGGUGUGUUUGGUGCUCCUCACCUCGUGGGCGAUGAAGUAGUAACACAGAGCGUCCAAGCAGCAGGAACUGCAGGAAGAUGCCCAGGUGGCUCGGCGUGAAAGGCAGCAAAAAGGCACUCAGACUGCUGUAGAUGAUCUUCACGCAGGC